GUUUGUAUAUUUACUUUGCUUAGUAACAACAAAAGUAACCAAAUCUAGUACUUAAAAAAGAACAAGAUUAUUGCAAAUCUAAAAUUACUUAGACUUAAUAAUCAAAAUUACUAUUAAUUUCAUCUCUUUUACUUUUCUUGAAAAUCCAUUUCCAUACUCUGUUCCCUUUUCCAUUUUUACCCUUUUUCAUCAUUCUGUCAUAUUCAUUCAUUCUACAAGAUCCACUUCUCAAAUUUCCAGAUUCUGAAAAAAUAUCAAAUUUUGUCUCUGAUAAUAAAUCAAGUUUCAAAUCUAUAAAACCUGAAUCAUCAUCACCAUCAUUAUCCGUCGUAGUAGUUCUGUUGCUCGAAUUCUUUAAAAAUGUCGAAUCGAAUCCUUUAAAAAUAGUGUUUUUUUUAAGGAUUGGCAACGUUUUUGGAGAGUCGGAGCAUUUUUUCUUGAAAUCAUCGAAUAAUAAACCACCAGUAACAUCAGAGAUUUUUGCACUUGAAAAUCUGUAAUCACUGCUUCCAUCAUCGCCAUUACCACCGCCACCUCUGAAGCUACAGAGUGAUCUUGAUCUUGAUACAACUCCCUCAAUGGGACCUGAAAUUUCACUGUUUUUCUUGAAAAAUCUCUUGAUUUUCCAAAACCCAUUACGAUUCUUCUUGAUUUCAACACUGUUGCUACUGCUCCUCAGCAAGAUUACUUGCUCUGUUUUGGAGGUUUUGCUCUGUUUUUCGUUUUCAAGCAAAAACGAAAUCCUCCCAACACUUCCAACAUCGAAAGAAGAAGAAUUUGUUUCUGUAUCAUCGGAGAAUAAUUGAUCGGAGUAAAUUAGAUUGAGUAAUUUGUCUUUGAGACAAGAAGAACAAAUCCCGAUUGGGGAUGAAUUUGGGUGUUGCAUACAGGGGAUAUCUGAUGAAACAGAGUAAUUGAAAUCUGAAAUUUUGAUGUUUUCACCAUUAAUGGCGUCUGUAGCUGCAGCUUUGCCUCUGUCUUUCAUGGCGAUUUCUUGAUUUUGUUGUGAAGAAGAUUGAAAAUGAA
rnacentral:misc_RNA from 1 species